CCUACGGGGGGCAGCAGUGGGGAAUAUUGCGCAAUGGGCGAAAGCCUGACGCAGCGACGCCGCGUGAGGGAUGAAGGUCUUCGGAUCGUAAACCUCUGUCAGCAGGGAAGAACGGUCACUGUGGUAAUCAGCAGUGAAUUGACGGUACCUGCAAAGGAAGCACCGGCUAACUCCGUGCCAGCAGCCGGGGUAAUACGGAGGGUGCGAGCGUUAAUCGGAAUUAAUGGGCGUAAAGCGCUCGUAGGCGGUAUGUCAAGUCAAGGGUGAAAUCCCCGCGCUCAACGCGGGAACUGCCUUUGAAACUGGCAGACUGGAGUGUGUGAGAGGAGAGUGGAAUUCCAGGUGUAGGGGUGAAAUGCGUAGAUAUCGGGAGGAACAUCAGUGGCGAAGGCGGCUAUCUGGCACAUAACUGACGCUGAGGAGCGAAAGCGUGGGUAGCGAACAGGAUUAGAUACCCGAGUAGUC
rnacentral:rRNA from 1 species